rnacentral:rRNA from 1 species
GAUGAACGCUGGCGGCGUGCCUAAUACAUGCAAGUCGAGCGAACGGACGAGAAGCUUGCUUUUCUGAUGUUAGCGGCGGACGGGUGAGUAACACGUGGAUAACCUACCUAUAAGACUGGGAUAACUUCGGGAAACCGGAGCUAAUACCGGAUAAUAUUUUGAACCGCAUGGUUCAAAAGUGAAAGACGGUCUUGCUGUCACUUAUAGAUGGAUCCGCGCUGCAUUAGCUAGUUGGUAAGGUAACGGCUUACCAAGGCAACGAUGCAUAGCCGACCUGAGAGGGUGAUCGGCCACACUGGAACUGAGACACGGUCCAGACUCCUACGGGAGGCAGCAGUAGGGAAUCUUCCGCAAUGGGCGAAAGCCUGACGGAGCAACGCCGCGUGAGUGAUGAAGGUCUUCGGAUCGUAAAACUCUGUUAUUAGGGAAGAACAAAUGUGUAAGUAACUGUGCACAUCUUGACGGUACCUAAUCAGAAAGCCACGGCUAGCUACGUG